AGACAUCUGUUCCUCUAAUGUGAUAUUUCAUAUCAUGUUGGAUUUCAGAAUGUCUUAAAUUAAAAAUGGACUGCUUCACCCAGAAUUGUGUCAUAUACUCACACUGUUUGGUUUUUGCGGGUUCACACAAAU